rnacentral:rRNA from 1 species
UUACAGAGGGUGCAAGCGUUGUUCGGAAUUAUUGGGCGUAAAGGGCGCGUAGGCGGUGCUAUAAGUCUGUGGUGAAAUCUCUGGGCUCAACUCAGAGUCUGCCAUAGAAACUGUAGUGCUAGAGUGUGGGGAGAGGUGAGUGGAAUUUCCCGGUGUAGCGGUGAAAUGCGUUAGAUAUCGGGGAGGAACACCCUGUGGCGAA